GCACAGGUAUCCAAGCGGUCAAAGGAGCUCGACUGUAAAUCGGGCGGCUAUGCCUUCGCAGGUUCAAAUCCAUGCCCUGUGCACCA
rnacentral:tRNA from 1 species